rnacentral:rRNA from 1 species
GAUGAACGCUGGCGGCGUGCCUAAUACAUGCAAGUCGAGCGAACAGACGAGGAGCUUGCUCCUCUGACGUUAGCGGCGGACGGGUGAGUAACACGUGGAUAACCUACCUAUAAGACUGGGAUAACUUCGGGAAACCGGAGCUAAUACCGGAUAAUAUAUUGAACCGCAUGGUUCAAUAGUGAAAGACGGUUUUGCUGUCACUUAUAGAUGGAUCCGCGCCGCAUUAGCUAGUUGGUAAGGUAACGGCUUACCAAGGCAACGAUGCGUAGCCGACCUGAGAGGGGGAUCGGCCACACUGGAACUGAGACAAGGUCCAGACUCCUACGGGAGGCAGCAGUAGGGAAUCUUCCGCAAUGGGCGAAAGCCUGACGGAGCAACGCCGCGUGAGUGAUGAAGGUCUUCGGAUCGUAAAACUCUGUUAUUAGGGAAGAACAAAUGUGUAAGUAACUAUGCACGUCUUGACGGUACCUAAUCAGAAAGCCACGGCUAACUACGUG